CACCUCACCGGCUUGCGCCCUUUUGGAGUGUGGCUGUGGUUUCCCUUCUUGGGAAACAGUAAGAAACCCAACAGCAGCCACUCUGCAGCCGUGGGAUAGGAGCCAAACAGCAAUUUCUUGACCCCUGAGAGAGCAGCGAUCCUGCUGAAAUGCCGAUAAAUGGUAUUUGUGCAAAAUUGUUAACGUCACCACACCAAAGGUGAAGUCAGUGAUAUGCAGAGUCACUGUGGAGGAAGCUAGUAAUGCUCCUCAGUCCGAGUCCCUUCUCCUUCCCUUAGAAGCUAUGUAAGACUGAGCAUAUUCCACCUCUCUGGACCUCCACGUCCCCUUCUUUAAAAUGGGGAGAGGAUCACUCAGGCAUGUGAAGUUUCUUGUACUGUAUCUGGCAGUUAGAGGCAUGCCAGGACCAAAGGGGUGGCCAAGGGGUCAUUGUCAGAGCGAGGAGGCUGCUGGGCCCAGGCACUGUGGCCCCACAGGAGUUCAUGCCCCACACACAGCACGACAGGCUGUCUGAGUCCUGGGGACACUCACCAGCUCCCCAGAGGCUCUGGCUGCUCCCCAGAGAGCAGAGAAAGUGAGUCCCAGACCAGCGAGAGCAUUCUCUCUGAGUGCCUGAGCCAGAAGCUGUUCUACCAGCAGCCUCCAUGAGCUGGAUCAGUUCAAGGUCGUCCCACAGGGAGGAACUACUCCUGGUGUAGGUUCAAAUCAAGGUUCUUCACUGGCAAAACAGAGGUCCAGCUAGGGACCAUAGUGAAUCCACCAAGGAAAACCUCUCUGGGGAGGGUCCUGCCUGGUUGGCAAGCGUGCUUCCUUGGGCCCAUCAUAUAAACGACUUCCUACGUAUUGGAUGAUCCAGAUAUGCUGCAAGCACUUGGGCUGGGCUCUCUGGGCUAACUGAUGUUUCCUCUAAUGGGCAGAACGGACUCAACAGGCGGGGAAGCCAAGCCCCAAGAAGUCCCUGCUGAGCUCCUGGAAGCUCAGCUAUAGAGUCCCAACAAUCCUGGAGAAAAUCCUGGAGCCUCACUACACUAGUCCUUGGUGUGUGGCUGUUGCUCACAGGCCCUAAGCUGUAGCAGAGCACACCAGUUGCAGGAACUCCCACAGUG